UACGGGGGGAGCAAGCGUUGUUCGGAUUUACUGGGCGUAAAGGGCGCGUAGGCGGCCACCGCAAGUCGACUGUGAAAUCUCCGGGCUUAACCCGGAAAGGUCAACUGAUACUGUGCGGCUAGAGUGCGGAAGGGGCAACUAGAAUUCUUGGUGUAGCGGUGAAAUGCGUAGAUAUCAAGAGGAACACCUGCGGCGAAGGCGGGUUGCUGGGCCGACACUGACGCUGAGGCGCGAAAGCUAGGGGAGCGAACGGG
rnacentral:rRNA from 1 species